ACUGUGUUACUAGAAGAAGAAGAAGUAAACCGCCGGCGUAGUCGCUCUGUCGCUCUCGGGUCUAUGGGAUUCUCUCUGUAAACGACGGUGGAAAAAUGGCAACAACCGACAUUAUGAGCAACAAUAUGAGCGAGGAUAAAAGUGAUAACAUAAACGAGAGCAUAAGUGAUAACACAAGUGAUAAUGUAAUCAAUACUAUAUGCGAUAAGACCAACAGUACAAUAAGCAAUUGUGAUGAGAGGGAAGCUGUUCGUCGGCAAUUUUAUAAAAAACCUGUAAAAAGGGAUAAUAUGAAGUUAGAAAUUGAUGACAGUACACCUCAAGAAGAAAGACGCAGAGUGUUAUUGGAAUAUCAGAAAAAACAGAGAGAAGAAACAGUUAAUAUUGCACGCGGUAUACAAAUCAUUAAUGAUGCAGAAGAGUAUUCCGCACCAGAAGACGAGAAAUAUAUGGGUGUGGACAAGGUGUCGUGGUAUUUUAGGGUUUUUAGGGAGCGCACAGUUUCUCGAAUGAUGCUGUCAGAAUGGAUGCUAGAAGUGCCGCAAGAUUUAAUUGAAAACUGGGUUAUGGUUCCGUGUCCAAAAGGAAACCGAGUUAGGCUGAUUUCUGGCUGGGGUGAAACAAGGGCAUAUUCUAGAAAAGGCGAGCUUCAUAGCGUUUUUCAUUCAGCACUUCCAGGUGGAAAUCCUGAUAGUGAAUUCUUACAUCAUACUGCUGCUCUAGAUGGUAUAUGGAUAAGGAGCAGAAAACUCUUUUAUAUACUAGACGUGUUGUAUUGGAAUCAAAUAAUGGUCACGAAUUGCGAGACUGAAUUCAGGCAGUACUGGAUCAAGUCCAAGUUUCAGGAAACGCCAGAAUUAGAGGAACGUGGCACUAAGAAAAAUAAAUAUCCCAUUUUAAUUCUACCAAAUAUUGAUUGUAACUGUGACCUCAGUUCAGCUCUGAUGAACCUGGAUGACCUAUAUCCCUUGGAUGGGCUUUUAUUUUAUCAUCGCAAAGCGCUGUAUACCUUUGGAACUACUCCACUUGUAACGUGGUUGAAACCUUUUAUGUUACCUGAAGUACUGGGAAUAUACGUACCUUCACCGCUUGACGAGAAACCAGACGAUUAUAUAAAUUUUGACCAUCACAUAUUAAAAGUAAAUUCUAAAAAAAAUCGGAAUCCAACAAAAAGUGUUACCAAUUCUAUGGAAAUAGAAGUUAUCGCUUAAAAUAAAAAUAAUAAUGCAUCUGUGUUAAUGACGUCAAACUAGAAAUAGUUCACAUAAGUCUUCGGUGUGAAAUUUAACUGUAAUGGUAUCCGAUAUUGGUAAUUCUGGCACCGUGUAUUGCAUUUGGACUUCACCAG